GCUGGUUGCCCUCGCCGCUGGGCUGGCGGCCGUCUAUGGCCCUGCAAACGCGCCAGAAACGCCGUCGAAGCCGUGUGCGAGACACCGCGGCGGCCGCCGGCGUUGUGGAUACCUCGCGGAAAACUUGGCCCUCACUGACAGAUGAGGGGCGGACGUUGACACUUGAGGGGCCGACUCACCCGGCGCGGCGUUGACAGAUGAGGGGCAGGCUCGAUUUCGGCCGGCG
rnacentral:lncRNA from 1 species